UAUGGUAAUUCAGCCGCGGUAAUACGGAAGGUCCGGGCGUUAUCCGGCUUUAUUGGGUUUAAAGGGAGUGUAGGCGGCCUGUUAAGCGUGUUGUGAAAUGUAGAUGCUCAACAUCUGAACUGCAGCGCGAACUGGCUGGCUUGAGUACACGCAACGUGGGCGGAAUUCAUGGUGUAGCGGUGAAAUGCUUAGAUAUCAUGAGGAACUCCUAUUGCGAAGGCAGCUCACGGGAGUGUCACUGACGCUUAAGCUCGAAGGUGCGGGUAUCAAACAGG
rnacentral:rRNA from 1 species